rnacentral:rRNA from 1 species
UACGUAGGGUCCGAGCGUUAAUCGGAAUUACUGGGCGUAAAGCGUGCGCAGGCGGCUUUGCAAGACAGAUGUGAAAUCCCCGGGCUCAACCUGGGAACUGCAUUUGUGACUGCAAGGCUAGAGUACGGCAGAGGGGGAUGGAAUUCCGCGUGUAGCAGUGAAAUGCGUAGAUAUGCGGAGGAACACCAAUGGCGAAGGCAAUCCCCUGGGCCUGUACUGACGCUCAUGCACGAAAGCGUGGGGAGCAAACAGG